CAUGCAAGUCGAACGAUGAACCUGGAGCUUGCUCUGGGGGAUUAGUGGCGAACGGGUGAGUAACACGUGAGUAACCUGCCCUGGACUCUGGGAUAACCCCGAGAAAUCGGAGCUAAUACCGGAUAGGACCUGGAACCGCAUGGUUUUGGGUGGAAAGUUUUUUCGGUCUGGGAUGGACUCGCGGCCUAUCAGCUUGUUGGUGAGGUAAUGGCUCACCAAGGCGUCGACGGGUAGCCGGCCUGAGAGGGUGACCGGCCACACUGGGACUGAGACACGGCCCAGACUCCUACGGGAGGCAGCAGUGGGGAAUAUUGCACAAUGGGCGAAAGCCUGAUGCAGCAACGCCGCGUGAGGGAUGACGGCCUUCGGGUUGUAAACCUCUUUUAGUAGGGAAGAAGGGCUUCGGCUUGACGGUACCUGCAGAAAAAGCACCGGCUAACUACGUGCCAGCAGCCGCGGUAAUACGUAGGGUGCGAGCGUUGUCCGGAAUUAUUGGGCGUAAAGAGCUCGUAGGCGGUUUGUCACGUCUGCUGUGAAAUCCCGAGGCUCAACCUCGGGCCUGCAGUGGGUACGGGCAGACUGGAGUGCGGUAGGGGAGAUUGGAAUUCCUGGUGUAGCGGUGGAAUGCGCAGAUAUCAGGAGGAACACCGAUGGCGAAGGCAGAUCUCUGGGCCGUAACUGACGCUGAGGAGCGAAAGCGUGGGGAGCGAACAGGAUUAGAUACCCUGGUAGUCCACGCCGUAAACGUUGGGCGCUAGAUGUGGGGACCAUUCCACGGUUUCCGUGUCGUAGCUAACGCAUUAAGCGCCCCGCCUGGGGAGUACGGCCGCAAGGCUA
rnacentral:rRNA from 1 species